rnacentral:ncRNA from 2 species
CUUUGUUCCCAUCGUAGUGGUCCCUGCUCGUCUCGAACAAGCUGAGUGGGGUGUAAGAGGGAAUCGGGUGAGAAUCCCGAGCAGUCCCGCUGCUGUAAGCUUUUACCGCCGUGUCGGUUUUGACAUGCGGACUCUUGUCGCUUUCCAAAUGAUGCCACUGUUCAUUCUCCACUAUUAGAGGUGGAGCUGAAUGGGAAGGCGCGACAAACAGAAAAGAGAUGAAGUAAGCCAGAAUACCUGCCUCUACGAGUUGCCUAUA